GAUGAACGCUGGCGGCGUGCCUAAUACAUGCAAGUCGAGCGAACAGACGAGGAGUUUGCUCCUCUGACGUUAGCGGCGGACGGGUGAGUAACACGUGGAUAACCUCCCUAUAAGACUGGGAUAACUUCGGGAAACCGGAGCUAAUACCUGAUAAUAUAUUGAACCGCAUGGUUCAAUAGUGAAAGACGGUUUUGCUGUCACUUAUAGAUGGAUCCGCGCCGCAUUAGCUAGUUGGUAAGGUAACGGCUUACCAAGGCGACGAUGAGUAGCCGACCUGAGAGGGUGAUCGGCCACACUGGAACUGAGACACGGUCCAGACUCCUACGGGAGGCAGCAGUAGGGAAUCUUCCGCAAUGGGCGAAAGCCUGACGGAGCAACGCCGCGUGAGUGAUGAAGGUCUUCGGAUCGUAAAACUCUGUUAUUAGGGAAGAACAAAUGUGUAAGUAACUAUGCACGUCUUGACGGUACCUAAUCAGAAAGCCACGGCUAACUACGUG
rnacentral:rRNA from 1 species